GAAAUUUAAAAUUGGAGUUUGAGAGAGAGAGAGAAAGAAAAGGAAAAGAAGACAUCAAAAUUUAUUUUCAAAGGAGAGGUGAUAAGAAUUUUUGAUAUUAUAGAGGAAAAGAAGAUACACGAGUGGGAUCAGUUUCUUCUUCUUCUUAUAAGCGUUACUCACGCUCAACGGGGUGUACACUUAUAUGGGGAAAAUGGAAGAGAAAUCUAUACCGACCACCCAUCGUGACCGUGGUGGAAAGGUGAAUUAAAGUCACAAUGCGGCUACAGCGAUCUUGGGAAUUUAGAGAUAAUGGAGUAGGGCAGAACGCUGGUCCAAUUCUAUCGAGCGACCAGGUAUCGACUUACGACCGCGAGGAAGCUCCUUUCAUUAAAGAAAUUAUUUUUGACCCGUGCUACGCUUUAGAAAAAAAAGGAAAAGACACCGCACACGUGCAGAGCACACCUUUAUUUAUCACGCUUCGAUUCGUGUCUCUCUGCAAAUUGAAAUUAAUCAUCCCUUUGUUAAAACGACAUGCAUAUAUUCCUUUUACAAAGUCGAGAGGGAAGAUUUUUUUGAGAAGGUGUGUAACGUCUCUAUUACCAAAAUGAUCGAUAAAAAAAGAAAUAAGAAAGGAAGGAAGGAAGGAAGGGGUGUGGGAACGCGAUGAAGCUUUUGGAGAGGGACGAAAGAGGAGGGGAGGAGGAAGCGUGGGAGGAGUUGGAUGGAAACGCAAAAGCAUGGAAACCGAACUUAAAAAAGAAGAGGCAAAGGGUGAUGGUGUGAACAGGUCCAGACUAGGUGGUCCCUCCUAGCCAAGUGGUUCCCCCGAUCGGGGAAAAAGCACCAGUAGCUUAUCCCCACGGUCUACGGAUAAUCGCGGCUGGAAUCACACUAAUUUCAACCUGGGAGGAAGAAAAGUGGAAAGAUGCGCAAACGAGACUGCUUUCCAACCAGUCACCAUUCCCAAUCAGGAUCACGGAACAUCCACUGUUGUUGUUAAUCCGACUUCGUCACUGCGAGCGAAAGGAGACACAGGAGAAACAGAGAGACAGAGAUAGAGACACAGAGAGAGAGAGAGAGAGAGAGAGAGAGAGAGAGAGAGAGAGAGAGAGAGGAAAUGGAAGAAAUCUUCGCUUCGAAACGGAAGAAUCAUUUGCAACGUUUCUUCGAGAUUAUUUUUUCACUCGAACGAAUUCAAUUCUCUCUCUCUCUCUUUCUCUCCUUUGAUCCUAGUCGAGAACAUUUUCACACUUUCUUCUCGACGAGAGUGUAGGAAGAUGGAAAGGUAAAGUACCGUUGCCGAGUUUAUUAUCACGGAUCUUUGGAUACGACUUACGUCCUGUCGUUGUCAAUGCAUCUCCAUAAAUCACGUGGCGUGGUGAAGAUCAAGGACGUGGUGAAGCCACCUCGAGCGAAUGAUCAGUUGGCGGGAGAAUAAGAGAGAGAGAGAGAGAGAGAAAUAUAGAGAAAUAGAGAAAAAGAGAGAGAGAGAAUUUAAUAAGUUGUAAAUUAAAAGUUCUCUUAACUGUCAUUUCCUUAUAGCCAAUCGAUGCUUGGUCACCGAUGCAUCCUGUCGUCGAGCAUUACAGCGCUUGUUCUGCCGGCGAUACGAGCAGUAACUGACUUUUUCCGUUUUUUAUCCGGAUAAAGUAUCUCCCCUUUCCUCUCGCUCAUAUUCUUCUUCCCUCGCUACGUCACUUUUUCCAUACGCAUAAAUUUAGCAUCGUUAACUGUUACGAUAAAUUGGCGUCAACAAUUUGUCGCAAUUUCCGCUAAAUUUAUGCUAUCCUACGAUAUCCUCCGUAGAACUCGUUGUAUUUAUCUAUAUAUACAUUUUUCUAGCCCACGUUUCUAUGGAUGGUAAGAGACGACCAAUCGAGAGGUGGACAAUUUUUAUCGUGGACAAAUUACUCUAGUCGUCGUUCGAGCGAAGAGUAUGAAUCUCAAUGGUAGAAGAGGAUUGGAACUAAUUACCACCCAGAAGCGACGUCUAUACCUCUGGUAAUGGCGAGGAAGAAGACUGACCCUCCUCGCGACUGUACAACCCGACCUCUGCAUCGACCUCGCCGAUUUAUAUCCUCGUAACAAGGUAAAAAAACCUUGGAGGACAAAAGGAAUGGGGGAAGGGAGAGAAGAGACGUAUAAAGAGUAAGAUUCGUUUUGCAUGCGUAACGUUUUUUCGUAGCUACCAUCGUUUCCUAGUCUUUAUUUGAUCCAUGUUAAGGGAAUGAAAAGAAACGACAAGCUUCUUGAUCUGUUGAUUUAUUCCUCUCUUGUUCGUCAGGUUAGUUUUCUCG